AUGAUGAAAUUCCAUGAAUUGAAAGAAAAUUACCUUUAAGGUCAUUAAUCAUUCUGACAAUUCCACUUUCAUUGCUUGUGCAUGUGACAAGGCCUGGGCCAGCAGUUGCUGGGUAUAUAAAGCUGAAGAGUAGUGCAAAACUUCACAACACGUUUUUUUAACAACCUUCAACAUGCGUUUCUUUGGAAAUAUUCUAAUUUUAUUGGCUAUUGUGGCCAUGGCAUUGGGUCAGCAACAAUCUCCUCCUGCUGAUAACGAGAAUGCAUCCAAUGCCGAAUCCCAACCAAGGGAAGAUCCCGCCAAGAUUAGAUUCUCCAUUGAAUUUGGAAAAUAAAAACUUUAUGGAAAUUGUGUUCUGAUUUAUGUGAAAUAAAAGAAAAAUGUACAUUUAA